GGAGUGUGUGUGAUCCCGCAGGGAUCAGCUGAGCCUGGGCUGGACCUGGACCUUCACCUUUCCAGGGCUCGAUAACAAAGCUCAACCACCUUGGAGAGAUUGCAAGUUACACCAAUUCCUGCC